CCAGGGAUCGGAUAGCCUCGCCCGCAUCACAGGCUUGUUCGGCCCGCCGGGUGCGUGCGGCUGGCGACGGCCAAGGCCUCGCGAUCGUCGUACGUACGUAUCGCCGCGGACCCGGAUCGGCUGGAGUCAGGUUGAUGAUGUGGGGACCUUUCGCUGGCUGUUUCGUCGAAACGUAGGUGGGCGUGUUGGCUAGAACCGAAGCGUGCGUGUCGACAAGCGGGGCUGCUGGUGGAGGAAUUCCGCCUGUCGUCCUUGCCCGUCUUGAUCGCUCAUGGGGCCGGUCGGGCACGUUUCGGGAGAGUGCUCAAGUGGUCGGAACUGCAACUGUUUAUCGCCACAAUCAGCUCAGGCACUUUCGGAACCGCCACAGGUCUGCCGCAUUCUACCGUGGGCACCUUCUGUACUGCUUCGACGCUUCUGUUUUCGGGAUCUAUAACUGCCGAACAUUCGGAUUUUCUAGACCUGGAGCCAAACAUGCUCAUAGCCGCGGCACGAAUCAAGAUGCUCCACCGUUGCCACGUCAUUCCAGGCACUCGUUCGGGUUGAAGGCGAUUUCACACGAACGGUUUUUUCUCGCACUGGGUACCUUAUCCUUUCCCCCGAGCACUGCCUCACCCACUCCUCCAAGUCUAGCCUCACGUUAUCCUCCCGGCGAUUACAGCGGCGAGUCCUUCCGGCGAUUGGAGCGGCGGCAGGAGGCGCGCGAGUGCGGCGGAGAGGAUGCGGGAGGGCUGCGUCCCUGUGAUAGGGCGACGCCCGCCGGGCACCACGCUGCGGCCCUGCGGGAGGAGGCGGCGGCGAGGAUGCGGUCGGCGGGGGGAGGCGGUGGCGAGGAUGCGGUCGGCGGGAGGGAGGCGGCGGCCGGUAGAAGCUGUUCCGACGAAUUGGGAGCUCCUCCUGCACGUCGAGAGCACCGUCCGGCACCACGCGCGCGCGCAUGCCGCGUCGGGGAGUGCGAGCAGCGUGGCGCUGCCGGUCGCGCCCGCCACCCACAUCCUGACGCGGCAGCGUGGUCGGCGGGGACCCGUUCGUGGCGUCGCGUUGCCGGGUCGCGCGAGUGCGGCGGCGAGGAUGUGGGAUGGCUGCAUCGGGCGGCCACGUAGUCGACAGAUAUGGAGGCGGCCGCGACACUUGAGAAGAGGGAGCGGCUAGUGAUGGGGCCGAGGGUUGGGUGCUACCGUCGUCGCACACGGUCGCUCAGGAGAGCCGCCGGCUAUGGAGGACGUCGAGUGGCGGUGGCAGUCGCUCCCGCUUCUGUUUUCAGGUGCAGCCGCUCCUGCUUUUGCUCCGAGUGUAUCACGGCGUCGUCAGCUGUCGACCCCUCCAUUUGGGGCUUGCUCGAGGAACAAGUCCAGUCCUGGUGCGUGGGGAGUUCAGGCUGGAGCGUUCUCCUUCCGAACUGAGAAGUUCGAUCGAUGCCCAUCCUGUUCCGAACGAAACGUUCGGUACGGGGUGCUCCCAGACCGAACGGUCGGGAGUUAUCGGCGUCCGUUUUACCUUUCUGGUUCACUCGUCCUUCCCGAUCCGUGUUCAGUUGCUGCAUCCGGCAAGAGCAAGGUGCCCGUCUACAUUUAUGUCAAUCUUGAUGACUUGCUCUACUCUCGAUUUGUGCUCCCAGACCAAAAGAUUCAUACGAGGGGACAAUAGACCCAUCUCCAAAACUAAAAAAUUCGGACCUGCACCAUAAAUGGUUGUGAUUUUUUUAAGUGAAUGGUUGUGAUCUUC